CUCAUGGAGAGUUUGAUCCUGGCUUAGGAUGAACGCUGGUGGCAUGCUUAACACAUGCAAGUCGGAUGGGAAGUGGUGUUUCCAGUGGUGGAUGGGUGAGUAAUGCGUAAGAACCUGCCCUUGGGAGGGGAACAACAACUGGAAAUGGCUGCUAAUACCCCAUAGGCUUAGGAGAAAAAGGAGGAAUCCUCCCAAGGAGGGGCUCGCGUCUGAUUAGUUUGUUGGUGAGGCAAUGGCUUACCAAGGUGACGAUCAGUAGCUAGUCUGAGAGGAUGAUCAGCCACACUGGGACUGAGACACGGCCUAGACUCCUACGGGAGGUAGCAGUGGGGAAUUUUCCACAAUGGGCAAAAGCCUGACGGAGCAAUGCCACGUGAAGGCAGAAGGCCCAGGGGUCAUGAACUUAUUUUCUCGGAGAAGAAACAAUGAUGGUAUCUGAGGAAUAAGCAUCGGCUAACUCUAUUCCAGCAGCCGCGGUAACACAGAGGAUGCAAGCGUUAUCUAGAAUGAUUGGGCGUAAAGCGUCUGUAGGUGGAUUUUCAAGUCCGCCGUCAAAUCCUAGGGCUCAACCCUGGACAGGCGGUGGAAACUACCAAGAUGGAGUACGGUAGGGGCAGAGGGAAUUUCCGGUGGAGUGGUGAAAUGCGUUGAGAUCGGAAAGAACACCAACGGCGAAAGCACUCUGCUGGGCCGACACUAACACUGAGAGAUGAAAUCUAGGGGAGAAAAUGGGAUUAGAUACCCCAGUAGUCCUAGCCGUAAAUGAUGGAUACUAAGUGUUGUGCGUAUCGACCCACACAGUGUUGUAGCUAACACGUUAAGUAUCCUGCCUGCGGAGUACGUUCGUAAGAAUGAAACUCAAAGGAAUUGACGGGGGCCCGCACAAGCGGUGGAGCAUGUGGUUCAAUUCGAUGCAAAGCGAAGAACCUUACCAGGGCUUGACAUG
rfam:Picea glauca, whole genome shotgun sequence.